rnacentral:rRNA from 1 species
ACUUUCGUUGAAUGAAUUAGAGGUGCUUGCACCGAAGAUGAUUUUAGCUAUAAAGUGAGUGGCGAACGGGUGAGUAACACGUGGGUAACCUGCCCAGAAGUGGGGGAUAACACCUGGAAACAGAUGCUAAUACCGCAUAACAAAGUAAACCGCAUGGUUUACUUUUAAAAGAUGGCUUCGGCUAUCACUUCUGGAUGGACCCGCGGCGUAUUAGCUAGUUGGUGAGAUAAAGGCUCACCAAGGCAGUGAUACGUAGCCGACCUGAGAGGGUAAUCGGCCACAUUGGGACUGAGACACGGCCCAGACUCCUACGGGAGGCAGCAGUAGGGAAUCUUCCACAAUGGACGAAAGUCUGAUGGAGCAACGCCGCGUGAGUGAUGAAGGCUUUAGGGUCGUAAAACUCUGUUGUUGGAGAAGAACGUGUGUGAGAGUAACUGCUCAUGCAGUGACGGUAUCCAACCAGAAAGCCACGGCUAACUACGUGCCAGCAGCCGCGGUAAUACGUAGGUGGCAAGCGUUAUCCGGAUUUAUUGGGCGUAAAGCGAGCGCAGGCGGUCUUUUAAGUCUAAUGUGAAAGCCUUCGGCUUAACCGAAGAAGUGCAUUGGAAACUGGAAGACUUGAGUGCAGAAGAGGACAGUGGAACUCCAUGUGUAGCGGUGAAAUGCGUAGAUAUAUGGAAGAACACCAGUGGCGAAGGCGGCUGUCUGGUCUGUAACUGACGCUGAGGCUCGAAAGCAUGGGUAGCGAACAGGAUUAGAUACCCUGGUAGUCCAUGCCGUAAACGAUGAAUGCUAAGUGUUGGAGGGUUUCCGCCCUUCAGUGCUGCAGCUAACGCAUUAAGCAUUCCGCCUGGGG